GGAGAAUCCCAGGGAUGGGGGAGCCUGGUGGGCUGCCGUCUAUGGGGUCGCACAGAGUCGGAUACGACUGACUCGGCUUAGUGGUAGCAGCAUCAAUCUGUUUUUGUACAUGAUGUCAGUCACUUUGUGGGACCUUUGAAUCUGAGCACUCAUAUCUUUUUUUCCUGGAAAAUUUUCUUGAUUAUUUCAUUGUUUAUUUCCUCCUGUUAGUUUUCCCUUUUCUUUUCUGUUUAGAAGUACUGUAAUUGAAAUGUGAGGCCUCCUGGACUGUUUGUCUAACGUUUUUAUUUUAUUUUUUUCCUAUUUAGCAUCUAUUUGUGUUUUUAUCUUUCUAGAAGAAAUUGCGAGUUAAUCUCAAUCUUAUCUUCAAGAUUUUCUAUUCAGUUUUACUUUUCUCCUAUCCUAUUUUUCAUUUCGAGAGCCCAUUUUUUGUUGUUUGAGUGUCCUUAAAAAAUAAAGCAUUCUAUCCUUCUUUCUCGUCAUUUUCUCUUAAAUCUCUAGAGCUGUUAGUGUUGUGUUUUUUUUGUAAGUUUUCUUUUUCUCUCUGUGUAGUUCUCUGUUUCUCACAAAUAGUCUCCCUGCAGCCCUACUCUUUAAAAAUUUGUCUCUGUCUGUCUUAUUAGAGUCUCUCACUAAGUAGAUGGUAAGCUUGUAUUGUCUGCUCACACUGAAGAGUGAUGGCCUAAAAGCUGAUUAUGUGAACAUGUGGGUGGAGCUUAUUAACUAUAAGCAGAUCACUCCAAGGGUGAUCUGGCUGAGAUUUUUUUGUAGGAGAAUCCUGGAUGUUCAUCAUUUUGGUUGAAGUUUUUCCAGAUUCAGUUUUCCAGUUUUCCAGUAAGUUGUUGUUGUUUACGGUUUUCCGGUAAGUUUUUCCAUCAAUUUGUGGAGAGUGAGGGUGGGGGAAAGUAGUCUAGAAUGUCUAAGCAUAAACUACACAGGCCUUCUCACUACUUUCAUUGCCCUCAAGGGAGCAGGAUGCUCCCUGUCCAGGAGUCUCAUAUUUCAUCUUUUCUGUAGAUAAACUUCUGGUCUCCUGCUAGGAUCAGGCAGGAGAGAGAACAGCCGCCCAGUUGCAGAGUCCGGGAGGGACUUUUUACACAGUUUUGAAUUAUGUUCCCUGUUUUAUGCCCCCAUUCAUCCCACUCCCUGAGGUGCCUGGGGUCACCAUUUUAGGAACCAUUUGGAAAUCUGCAGUGUAAAGAAGGUGUGUCUUGGCCCACAUAGGAGGGCCACUCAGGAGGCAUCUUUCUCAGAACUGCAGUCAGUUCUUACACUUUCCAUUGCUUUCAGCCUCCAAAAUUUUAUUACUGGGAUUUCCUUUUCUCUUUUCCCUAUCCUUAUAGGUUUAUGGCUUUUUGAAAAAAUCACUUUGCUAUAGAUUUAGUGAGGUUUCAGAAGGGAAUAAAAGUCAAUAUGUAUGUUUAAGCCCCCAUUUUUAUCUGUAUGCUCCUAUGUGAAGCCUUCAAGGCAUGGAUGUGACAUGAGCUGACUUAUGUUUUAAAAUAUUAUUUCUCUUGAUUUAUUGGAGAAUGGAUUGGAGAAGAACAAGCAAGAUUGCUGCACUCUGUACAAGAAGAGUCAAAAAUGGGGCCAGCUCACUCCACAGGCAACUGCCCUGGACAGCAGCCUUACCCAGCAUAGGCCUAUCCUUGUGGCUGGUGGCCUAUAAAGCUGGCCCCUGUGUUUGUUAUGCAUGACAAGCCUGCCUGGAGCCUGUGGAAAGCAAUGAGAUAUCUGCUGUGUGUAGGUGUCUAAAGAAUAAUGUGAAUAAUGUGAAGUC